CAGUAGGAAUCUUCGGCAAGUGGGGGCAACCCUGACCGAGCAACGCCGCGUGAGUGAAGAAGGUUUUCGGAUCGUAAAGCUCUGUUGUAAGAGAAGAACGUGUGUGAGAGUGGAAAGUUCACACAGUGACGGUAACUUACCAGAAAGGGACGGCUAACUACGUGCCAG
rnacentral:rRNA from 1 species